rnacentral:tRNA from 1 species
GCCUCGGUAGUGUAAAGGAUCAGCACGGGAGACCUGAAAUCUGAAAGUGCGAGUUCGAGUCCCACCUGAGGUU